CUCCUACGGGAGGCAGCAGUGAGGAAUAUUGGACAAUGGGUGAGAGCCUGAUCCAGCCAUCCCGCGUGAAGGACGACGGCCCUAUGGGUUGUAAACUUCUUUUGUAUAGGGAUAAACCUAGAUACGUGUAUCUAGCUGAAGGUACUAUACGAAUAAGCACCGGCUAACUCCGUGCCAGCAGCCGCG
rnacentral:rRNA from 1 species